rnacentral:rRNA from 1 species
GACGAACGCUGGCGGCGUGCUUAACACAUGCAAGUCGAACGGUGAAGGGGUCUGCUUUUGUGGGCCCUGGAUGAGUGGCGAACGGGUGAGUCACACGUGAGUAACCUGCCCCCUUCUUCUGGAUAACCGCAUGAAAGUGUGGCUAAUACGGGAUAUUCUGGGUCUGUCGCAUGAUGGGUCUGGGAAAGAUUGCGCCUUUGGGUGUUUUUGGUGGGGGAUGGGCUCGCGGCCUAUCAGCUUGUGGGUGGGGUGAUGGCCUACCAAGGCGGUGACGGGUAGCCGGCCGGAGAGGGUGGACGGUGACACUGGGACUGGGACACGGCCCAGACUCCUACGGGAGGCAGCAGUGGGGAAUAUUGCACAAUGGGCGCAAGCCUGAUGCAGCGACGCCGCGUGAGGGAUGGAGGCCUGCGGGUUGUAAACCUCUUUCGCCAGUGAAGCAGGCCUGCCCCUUGUGGGUGGGUUGACGGUAGCUGGAGAAGAAGCGCCGGCUAACUACGUG